GAUUUGCAAAGUGCCAGGGCCAGACAGGCAGAGGGGGAGGAAGGAGGCUGGCUGAAGACCAGGAACAGAGAGAAGAGCCCACUUCUCCAUCAAAAGGUCUGUUCGGUUAACGCAUCCCCAGAGCAGGAGUUAAUCGAGGACUGGAUGCAGUGUAAAAGGAUCAAAAGAAUGUGAAUAAUGGUCUCUGUGCUCAUCAGCUCUGGAACAUUUCGCUGUGUUGAGGAGAAGAAGAUGAAAACCAAGCUUUGAGACGCACGUAAAUGUAUCAUAAGCUACCCGACCGAUAUAUAAACAUAUAUAGGUUCUUUGCAUGUAAAUCCAAAAGAAGAGCACCCCAGAAGCCUCUGGAGGAGGGAGGGGGCUGGAGCAGCAAAACUUGGCAGAGCAAAUGUAUCCAAGGAUUUCGUGCCAGAAUUCCUGAGAAGCUUUGGAGGAAGAGGAAGAAAAAGAAAAAUAUGAAAUUAUCCCUAAACACACACUUGAAACUGGAGACGCCUAAAGGAGAGUAGAAACGGAGAAGAUGAGGUUUUUCUGGGAACCACGGAUCCGUCAGCCAAAUGAGCAAUCGCCACAGAAAAUCCUAGGCGGAGCGGUAGCUCCAGAUGGGUCCCCUGCUCGCGUCCCCGCCGCUGCCGCUGCUACCUGUAGACAGGCACACACACACACACACACACGCACACUCACGCGCGCACACACACAUCAGCCUCUGCUGCGCGCGCUCUCUCCCUCUCUUGGCCAUACGCUGGGAGCUGGAGUCUCAACACAACUAGAUCUACCCUCCUGCCGGGCGGUCCUGCUCACCAGCUCCGGCUCACUACUCCUGACAGCCUUGUAGCACAGCAUCACUUCCCCCAGGUCGGGGGGGGGGGGGGGAGCCUCCACAGCAGCCGCCUAGGUGCUGGUGGCGGCCCCCUCCCUUUACUAAGUUCCGCCUUCUCUGGUCCCUCCAACCCGCGGUAGCCCGAACACCCCGCAGCGCCCACGGCGCCAGCAACGUCCGAGGUUGCAGGAAGGGUGAAGGGCCCUGGGCGUCACUCGUGACGUCUUCUAAGCCUCUUGGAGCGGCAACUAAAUGCGGGUUGGCAAGGUGGAGGUGGCGGUGGCGGUGGCGGUGGCGGGCCACCUGCAAGAAGCCUCCUGCAAGCUGAGUUUCUUGGUCCUUGGUGCCUUGGUGCUGUGUUUCAGGGGCCUGGGAUUGGUGAGAGGGGAGACUGGACCUGGGGGAAACAGCAUACCACUGAGUAUCGCAGGAUCUCACCCAGACCAGCAAACUCCCCUCAAAUUCCCUUUAAGUAGGAGCAGGCUGGUCCCUGAACUGGUAGGAGCAUUAUAAAUGUCUAGUACUAUUAGUCUCUCCUCUCCAGCUGUGCCCACAUUCUUAACUGCUGGAGAGUCAACGUUUAAAAAUCCACCACAGUAAUCAUUAUUGGCUUUUGUGACUUGUGAAGGGUGUGAUGCCUAGCAGUGCACUCUUGCACCCAGUCACAACCUACUAGCCUCUGUGAUCUCUUUGAAAGAGAAGAGAGAAGCUGAGACCCACUGAAAUAAUUGAUGACCACCUGUAACAAUCUUAACCAAAAGGAGAAUGAGGAGUUGCUCUGAGAAACCAGAGACACACAAGCUACAGCUCUCUUUUCUAUCUUGGGGUUCGUCUCAUUCGUCUUAGUCUAAGUCUCUAAAAUUCAGAGGAAUGGGUUACCCCAAAUAGCAACCCAAUGAAGGCGAUUGUCCUAACAGAUUUAAGGUAAUUGUUGCUAUUUGUUAAUUAAUACUAACCAAUAGGAACUGUGAGAUUCUGUCACAGUCAUGCUGGUUUUCAGAACAACCUUGAUCAUGACAUAUUUUCCCCACUUGGAAGGAUCCUGAAGGCACUUUUCCAUAGUUUUGCGACUUAGUACAUCUUUUUUGUUUAUUUGGUUUUGUUUUGGUUUUGGUUGUUUUCCUUUCAAGGAAGUAACCUAUAGGUAUGCCUAGGACAAUAAGGCUUCACUCUGAAUCAAGCCUGGGACACUUGGCUACUGCUCUUCCUUCUCUAGUCUUGCUAAUUCAACUUGAAACCUUCAAAAUUUCUAUGCAGCUUUCCAGAAAGUUGAAAACAAGUAAGUGUUCUCAUAUCAGCAACACUAUUUCAUCGAAUCUUUAACUUCCAGGAGAUAGCACACUUAAAAUAUUAUAAUAUGUAGGGCAUAUGGUACAUACCUUUAAUUUAAUUGAAUCAGUUCAGUCCUAGCAUUCAAGAGGCAGAGGCAAGAGGACCUCUGAGUUCAAGGCCAGCCUGGCUAAAACUAAUGAGGAAGAAGCCAUUUUAAAAGAAACAAACAAAGGUAGCAUCAUGAGAGAGGCUAUCAUAGUAAUUACAACAUUAAGCUUUUAAACAAGAAGCAAAGACAAUUCAGUAAAGAUGCCACUUGUAACUUCCAUAAGCUUCUGUGUAAUCUGCUGUCUCCUCAUCCCGUGGCCACCCUUUGCAGCUGUCCUGCUAAGCUCUAAACGUAGUAAUUGAACAUUGCUUAUUUCCAAUAUUCUAUAUCAAUAAGAUGACAUUACUUUUAGAUAAGUCCUAUUGUAGCUUUACAUUAUUCUUUGUGAGAACGAAAUCUAUACACUGAACAUUAUAAUCUCAUUUUCAUGAGUUACUUAAAAGAAAAGCUCAAGAAGGUUAACAAAACAGACGUGCCAGACAGGCAACAUUUGUCACCGUCUGUGUGUGCCAUGAACCUGUGAUGGAUAAGGCUGUCUAGUUGGAGCUAUAAUCAUUUUAGAGACAGGCUUCUGGGCACCCUGGUCAAGGACUAUACUUGUUAGUUUUUUUCUUUUAUUUUUACUGUGACUUUAUCUGUCUAUCUCUCUCUCCCUCCUCCUCCUUCCCCUGUGUGUGUUGGAGGGGUGUGUGUGUGAAAGAAUGGGGUGUGGGAGGGUCCCUGGGGACAUCAGAAGAAAGCAUUGGAUAUCCUGGAGCUGGAAUUACAAGUAGUUGUGAACUUUCUAAACGGAGGUUCUCUGGAUGAAAAGCUAGUGCUUGUCUGAGAACUUGUCUUGGCUAGGGGUGGUAGAAGUCACUACUCCCUAGCUGGGGAUUCUGGAAAUAACUAAGCAAGUUCUGCAUGCCUUCCCCUCUUUGCUUCCUAACUGGAGAUGCACUAGGCCUAGUUCCCCCAAACUGCUGCCUUUGUGACUUUCUACCUCUGUGGACUGUAUUCAGGGACUGUAAGCAAAAGUAAACCUCUUCUCGCUUAUGCUACUUCUGCGACAGUAUUUUGUCACAGCAACAAGAAAUUAAGACACAUUCAUAAGAGCCGAACUUCUAUUGAUCAGUUUUUUUCCACAUCCCCCACUAUAGCUCUCAAGGAAAUAAGCCCACCCAUGUCAUUUGGUGCCGAAGCCACUAACCUCACAUUCCACUUCUGCAAAACUGGAAUACUACUAGCACCUGCCUGGUGGUAUUGCUGUGUUUAUCAUAACAAUGCACAUAAACUUGGAACACUAAGGAUAUGUGUUUUCAGGGGUUCUAAUUUAGCAUCGUUAUGAUGUCUUUUCUCUUUUGACUAAAAUACCAAUACACAGAAGGGCAUUUGUUUUUCGUGUUGAAAAUCAGUCAUACUACUUGAGUGCAGUAUGACUUCAUGGACAAGUCAAUAGUGAUUUGAGCAUGAUUUCCUAGGCUAUGCCUUCCUUUAUUCUCUUCUCCUUUUCUUUUCUUUUCUUUUCUUUUCUUUCCCUUUCUUUUCUUCUUUUCUUUUCUUUUCUUUUUUUUCCUUCCUUUCUUUCUUUUUUAUUUUGUGAUAAGGCAUUAAGUAUCACACACUGGCCACCAACUCACUAUGUAACCAAGAAUGGUCUGGAAUUUCUCACCCUUUAUUCUCUGACUCCCCAGACAUUACAGGUAUGUGUCACCACAGUCAUUACUGUUCUUUUACCGCUUAAGUUUAGCACGGAGAGACAUAUUGGACACAAUUAUAAUCUAGAAAGUACUGAUCAUUAAAGGUCAUGUGGCCUUCUGGGUUGUGAAGUUAAUGGUGCUCAAAUACAAAGUCUGUCAUUAAGUCAGAGGCUGUCUGCAAGUCUCAGUAAAGUAAAAACCACACAAAUUCUCUGUAAAAUUUGCACAAACACAUCUGCUCACUUGCAGAUUUGGGAGGAAGUCUUGGAAUAAAAUAAAUAAAAACACUGGUAUUUUUUUU